GGAAUAUUGGACAAUGGGCGAAAGCCUGAUCCAGCAAUGCCGCGUGAGUGAUGAAGGCCUUAGGGUUGUAAAGCUCUUUCACCGGAGAAGAUAAUGACGGUAUCCGGAGAAGAAGCUCCGGCUAACUACGUGCCAGCAGCCGCGGUAAUACGUAGGGAGCAAGCGUUGUUCGGAUUUACUGGGCGUAAAGGGUGCGUAGGCGGCGCGUCAAGUCACUUGUGAAAUCUCCGGGCUUAACUCGGAACGGCCAAGUGAUACUGUCGUGCUAGAGUGCGGAAUGGGCAACUGGAAUUCUUGGUGUAGCGGUGAAAUGCGUAGAUAUCAAGAGGAACACCUGAGGCGAAGGCGAGUUGCUGGGCCGACACUGACGCUGAGGCACGAAAGCCAGGGGAGCGAA
rnacentral:rRNA from 1 species